GACGAACGCUGGCGGCGUGCUUAACACAUGCAAGUCGAACGAAGUGGCGAACGGGUGAGUAAUACGUGGGUAACCUGCCCUUCAGAGGGGGACAACAGUUGGAAACGACUGCUAAUACCGCAUACUGAAGGAGGGGAUUGCGUCUGAUUAGCUAGUUGGAGGUGUAACGGCCCACCAAGGCGAUGAUCAGUAGCCGGUCGGAGAGGAUGAACGGCCACAUUGAGACUGAGACACGGCCAAGACUCCUACGGGAGGCAGCAGUGGGGAAUAUUGCGCAAUGGACGAAGGUCUGACGGAGCAACGCCGCGUGAGGGAUGACGGCCUUCGGGUUGUAAAGCUAUGUUAAUCGGGACGCGGUACCGGAAUAGAAAGCCACGGCUAACUACGUGCCAGCAGCCGCGGUAAUUC
rnacentral:rRNA from 1 species